rnacentral:rRNA from 1 species
CCUACGGGCGGCUGCAGUGGGGAAUAUUGGACAAUGGGGGGAACCCUGAUCCAGCCAUGCCGCGUGUGUGAAGAAGGCCCUCGGGUUGUAAAGCACUUUCAGUGAGGAAGAACGCCUGGUGGUUAAUACCCAUCAGGAAAGACAUCACUCACAGAAGAAGCACCGGCUAACUCCGUGCCAGCAGCCGCGGUAAUACGGAGGGUGCGAGCGUUAAUCGGAAUUACUGGGCGUAAAGCGCGCGUAGGUGGCUUGAUAAGCCGGUUGUGAAAGCCCCGGGCUCAACCUGGGAACGGCAUCCGGAACUGUCAAGCUAGAGUGCAGGAGAGGAAGGUAGAAUUCCCGGUGUAGCGGUGAAAUGCGUAGAGAUCGGGAGGAAUACCAGUGGCGAAGGCGGCCUUCUGGACUGCCACUGACACUGAGGUGCGAAAGCGUGGGUAGCAAACAGGAUUAGAUACCCCAGUAGUC